AUUUAUGCGAUGAUGAAGAGGAGUAGCCAGAGCGAACGCUUCAGAGAGCUGAUGGUAGGUGUGAAUCAGUGCGGACGUUCUGGUGAAUGGGCUUUUGAGCAUCCGGGCUGAACGCAUAGUAGGCAUCGGCGGAAACUCUUACCGAUAAAAGAGAGAAUGUAUCGAGCGGUGAUCCGCUUUCCGUACAUGAGCGCGUUUUUUAACGAACAAAGGUGGCACCACGGGGUCUCUCGUCCUUAUU
rnacentral:ncRNA from 1 species